GAGGAGGAGGAGGAGGAGGAAGAGGAGGAGGAGGAAAAGGAGGAGAAAUCUGCUGCUAACAUGGCCGUAAAUCCAGCCGCUGUCACAGCCGUCUGCACGGUAAUGAGGAGCUUUGGAAGACCACCAACGCCAGCCACAUCUUUCCAGUAAUCUACAGCACUGUCAAUGACAUCAUCAUCUAUUAUUAGGU